rfam:Gossypium raimondii Chr08_contig_770, whole genome shotgun sequence.
UAUUAAAAUUUCAUCAAUUCCUACCGUUAAAAAUUGGUCAAACAGUUACACGUGACGUGCCACCUGCAUUUCAUGUUGACGUACAUGAACCAAUUUUUAAAAGUAGAAAUAAAAGAAAUUUUUAAUA